UACGUAGGGUGCGAGCGUUAAUCGGAUUUACUGGGCGUAAAGCGUGCGCAGGCGGCCCGUUAAGACAGGUGUGAAAGCCCUGGGCUCAACCUAGGAAUUGCGCUUGUGACUGGCGGGCUCGAGUACGGUAGAGGGGGGUGGAAUUCCUGGUGUAGCAGUGAAAUGCGUAGAGAUCAGGAGGAACACCGAUGGCGAAGGCAGCCCCCUGGGCCUGUACUGACGCUCAUGCACGAAAGCGUGGGGAGCAAACAGG
rnacentral:rRNA from 1 species